rnacentral:rRNA from 1 species
UAGACUAUAGCUAUCUGCAGUCGUACGCACUGGCCCAACUGAUUGAUGGUGCUUGCACCUGAUUGACGAUGGAUCACCAGUGAGUGGCGGACGGGUGAGUAACACGUAGGUAACCUGCCCCGGAGCGGGGGAUAACAUUUGGAAACAGAUGCUAAUACCGCAUAACAACAAAAGCCACAUGGCUUUUGCUUGAAAGAUGGCUUUGGCUAUCACUCUGGGAUGGACCUGCGGUGCAUUAGCUAGUUGGUAAGGUAACGGCUUACCAAGGCGAUGAUGCAUAGCCGAGUUGAGAGACUGAUCGGCCACAAUGGAACUGAGACACGGUCCAUACUCCUACGGGAGGCAGCAGUAGGGAAUCUUCCACAAUGGGCGCAAGCCUGAUGGAGCAACACCGCGUGAGUGAAGAAGGGUUUCGGCUCGUAAAGCUCUGUUGUUGGAGAAGAACGUGCGUGAGAGUAACUGUUCACGCAGUGACGGUAUCCAACCAGAAAGUCACGGCUAACUACGUGCCAGCAGCCGCGGUAAUACGUAGGUGGCAAGCGUUAUCCGGAUUUAUUGGGCGUAAAGCGAGCGCAGGCGGUUGCUUAGGUCUGAUGUGAAAGCCUUCGGCUUAACCGAAGAAGUGCAUCGGAAACCGGGCGACUUGAGUGCAGAAGAGGACAGUGGAACUCCAUGUGUAGCGGUGGAAUGCGUAGAUAUAUGGAAGAACACCAGUGGCGAAGGCGGCUGUCUGGUCUGCAACUGACGCUGAGGCUCGAAAGCAUGGGUAGCGAACAGGAUUAGAUACCCUGGUAGUCCAUGCCGUAAACGAUGAGUGCUAGGUGUUGGAGGGUUUCCGCCCUUCAGUGCCGGAGCUAACGCAUUAAGCACUCCGCCUGGGGAGUACGACCGCAAGGUUGAAACUCAAAGGAAUUGACGGGGGCCCGCACAAGCGGUGGAGCAUGUGGGUUUAAUUCGAAGCUACGCGAAGAACCUUACCAGGUCUUGACAUCUUGCGCUAACCCUUAGAGAUAAGGCGUUCCCUUCGGGGACGCAAUGACAGGUGGUGCAUGGUCGUCGUCAGCUCGUGUCGUGAGAUGUUGGGUUUAAGUCCCCGCACGAGCGCACCCUUUGUUUACUAGGUGGCAGCAAUCAGGUGGUCAACUCUAGCGAGACCUGACGUGACCAAUGGCAGGUAGGGUGGGGACGUACCGUUCA